GAUCGAGAAAUUAAAACCUGUCUUGCGGCGCCCAUUUUAAUUUCGUUUAUUCCCUGUUAAUUUUUCCUCAAUUGCUGUAGGAUUCCCGAUAGGUAGCCACCUAGCCCAAAAUUCGCUCGAAAUCCUGUGGAUCCCCGGUUCAUUUGGCGCCGGGAUCUGACAGCGUGGCAUGUGGCAGCCGCGGCCAAGCUCAGUGCCGGUUGCCUGGUUCCCCAUAGGCGCGAUCGACGGAGGCCGAGAGAUGCAGCAGCAGCAGCAGAUGCGCAACCUUGUCCUUCCACAGGUGUACCUUCAUCUAUAGAACAUGGAGAAAAUUUUCACUGGUUAUCAGUAUUUUUGCCUGGCAACCCAUGCCUCUCCUGCCUCCCCUCAAGGAAAAUGAGAAAAAAACAGCACAUGCAUAGAGAAGCUGACAAGAGUGAUAGUGAGGGAUAGAGAUCACACAUGUCUGGGACGCCAUAUCAAAAGCUGCAGCCGUCAGGUUCAAUAACUCCAGUUUAGCCAUCUUGAUUUCUUUUAGCACAUCAAUAAGAUUACCCAGGAGCAAACUUGUUUCCUGCAGAAAUAGAUGAACCUCAUUAGCCUGCUAAACAUAUAUUUCUAAUAUAGAACCUGUAACACAUGACAUCAUCUACAGUAAAAGCAUAGUUGUUUCUAUUCUCAAAUAGAUGCAACUUUUCGGUAUAUUAUUAUUAGGAUUAUUUACUGUGCAGAAUGUAAGAAGUUCAGAAUGUGAUUUCGGUAAUUAUCAUUUU